GACGUAGGGCGCGAGCGUUGUCCGGAUUUAUUGGGCGUAAAGAGCUCGUAGGCGGCUCAUUGCGUCAACCGUGAAAACCUGCCGCUCAACGGUAGGCUUGCGGUUGAUACGGGUGGGCUGGAGUUCGGUAGGGGAGACUGGAAUUCCUGGUGUAGCGGUGAAAUGCGCAGAUAUCAGGAGGAACACCGGUGGCGAAGGCGGGUCUCUGGGCCGAUACUGACGCUGAGGCACGAAAGUGUGGGGAUCAAACAGG
rnacentral:rRNA from 1 species